UUCUGUUACAGGUGUUUGUGUUUAAAUUUCAGCUUUUUGCUUACCAUCUUAAACAGGACUCAUCUGCAAGAAAUUACACCAACAAAAUAAAAAGAAAACAGAGGCAUGGCAAGAGAACGAAGAUCAACAGGUGGCUCAAGGACUGCUGCUCUGAGGAAAGUUUUGGAGUGUUUGACUAUUCAGAGAUGUCUGUGAAGCUUUUGAUAUGAUGCCACAUGAGAAAUUACUGGCUAAAAUGGAGAUGGAAAAGAAGAAUGGAAAUCAGAAUAAGAAUGCCUAAGUGAGUAAGGAACUGGCCUUGACAGAGGGAAAAAUGGAAGCAGGGUGGAAUCUAUCAAA